rnacentral:tRNA from 1 species
GGGGCCGUAGUCUAGCCUGGUAGGAUGCGUGGCUUGGGACCGCGAGGCAAGAGCCCACGUGAUCCCGGGUUCAAAUCCCGGCGGCCCCA